rnacentral:rRNA from 1 species
GACGAACGCUGGCGGCGUGCUUAACACAUGCCAGUCGAACGGAAAGGCCCUGCUUUUGUGGGGUGCUCGAGUGGCGAACGGGUGAGUAACACGUGAGUAACCUGCCCUUGACUUUGGGAUAACUUCAGGAAACUGGGGCUAAUACCGGAUAGGAGCUCCUGCUGCAUGGUGGGGGUUGGAAAGUUUCGGCGGUUGGGGAUGGACUCGCGGCUUAUCAGCUUGUUGGAGGGGUAGUGGCUUACCAAGGCUUUGACGGGUAGCCGGCCUGAGAGGGUGACCGGCCACAUUGGGACUGAGAUACGGCCCAGACUCCUACGGGAGGCAGCAGUGGGGAAUAUUGCACAAUGGGCGGAAGCCUGAUGCAGCAACGCCGCGUGCGGGAUGACGGCCUUCGGGUUGUAAACCGCUUUCGCCUGUGACGAAGCGUGAGUGACGGUAAUGGGUAAAGAAGCACCGGCUAACUACGUG